AUUGAACGCUGGCGGCAGGCCUAACACAUGCAAGUCGAACGAGUGGCGGACGGGUGAGUAAUGUCUGGGCAACUGCCCGAUGGAGGGGGAUAACUACUGGAAACGGUCGCUAAUACCGCAUACUAUCGGAUUAACCCAGUUGGGAUUGGCUAGUAGGUGGGGUAACGGCUCACCUAGGAGACGAUCCCUAGCUGGUCUGAGAGGAUGACCAGCCACACUGGAACUGAGCAACGGCCCAGACUCCGACGGGAGGAAGCAGUGGGGAAUAUUGCACAAUGGGCGCAAGCCGGAUGCAGCCAUGCCGCGUGGAGGAAGAAGGCCUCCGGGUUGUAAAGUACUUUCAGCGGGGAGGCGUUACUCGCAGAAGAAGCCCCGGCUAACUCCGUGCCAGCAGCCGCGGUAAUAC
rnacentral:rRNA from 1 species